UGUCUUUAACAUCAUAAUCCAGAAGCGUCAGAGGUGAACGGAUGAAAGUCUCUCUUCUCUCGUCUGUGGAUUUUCAUCUGGAGAAUGUCUGUGGGAAUUAUGUCUGGACAGAAGCUGAAUGUGCUGCGGCGGAUGAUGACGAUGAUGAUCAUCUGCUGCCUCACUGGACAGAUAAAUUGUAAUUCUAAUAUCACAAUAUCCUCUGAUAAAAUCAAACUGAAUGGUGUCUGUCUCUGCAGCA